rnacentral:rRNA from 1 species
AGUGAACGCUGGCGGUAGGCCUAACACAUGCAAGUCGAACGGCAGCACAGGAGAGCUUGCUCUCUGGGUGGCGAGUGGCGGACGGGUGAGGAAUACAUCGGAAUCUACUUUUUCGUGGGGGAUAACAUAGGGAAACUUACGCUAAUACCGCAUACGACCUACGGGUGAAAGCAAGGGAUCUUCGGACCUUGCGCGAUUGAAUGAGCCGAUGUCGGAUUAGCUAGUUGGCGGGGUAAAGGCCCACCAAGGCGACGAUCCGUAGCUGGUCUGAGAGGAUGAUCAGCCACACUGGAACUGAGACACGGUCCAGACUCCUACGGGAGGCAGCAGUGGGGAAUAUUGGACAAUGGGCGCAAGCCUGAUCCAGCCAUACCGCGUGGGUGAAGAAGGCCUUCGGGUUGUAAAGCCCUUUUGUUGGGAAAGAAAUCCAGCUGGUUAAUACCCGGUUGGGAUGACGGUACCCAAAGAAUAAGCACCGGCUAACUACGUGCCAGCAGCCGCAGUAA